UUAAUACAAAUAUUAUUUCAUACCAUUUUCAAUCUCAAAAUUAGCCUACUUAAAUAUAAAUUCAUCCACAUAAUUGUUUUUUUUUUAUGAUACUAACAAGAGUUUACACAAUAAAAUAACAACAACAUCUCCAUAAAACAAAACAUUGACUUGAUUUACAUUAUAUAAUUGGUGUACACAAACUAUAAUUCAACACAAAUAACACAACUCGUCUUUUACUAGUAAACUCUUAUGUCUCCUUCACAUCACAACAUUCUUCACUUUUUGCAAUAAUCAUUAUUAAAACUUUUAACUUCAUAAUUUCAUUUCAAAAAUUAGCAAUCACUUCAUUAAAACUAACAAGUUUUUAUUAAUUUUUUAAUUCUUUCUAUGUAGAAUAUCUCAUUUCAUAUUGUGAAGUCCUGGUUUGAUGAAAACCAUACAUCAAUGAUUGUUGAAGAUGAUGAGAUUGAAAAAAUUUAUCCUUGUUGAAGCAAUCAUGAAAAAUAUCCUAAAAUUGGGUGGUAUGAAUAUGUGAAAGAGAAGAAAGUCAAGAGAAAAGAUGUCCUCAUUUUCCUUGUUGUUGACCCUCAUAGAAGGAUUAGUGUCUUCACACACAAGGAGGACAAAUAGUGAUAGGGUUUUGAGUGUUUUACCUCUUGUUUCUUCUUAACGUUUUCAACAAGUUUUGUGAGGUUUUGAACUGCUUUCAUGACAUCCUCCAACAAAAUAGUAGAUGCAACAUGACUUUGAAUUGCAUCAACAUUUUCAACAUCACUUAAUUUGGAAACAAAAUAAUCACUAUUAACAUCAAAAGUUUCCUUCUUAUUGCUGCGACAUAAAUUUUACAAAAUCAUUCAUUAGAAAUAAGCAUUUCAUCUAUCCUUAACAAAACAUAACUUAUAAUAUGUAUAAUGUAUAUUACUUACCCAUUGUUUGGGGAUACAUGUUGAUGUUCACCCAGAAAGAAAAAAAUACAUGUUGCUUUGUUCCAUCAUUAACCACAAUUGAAACUCAGUAUCACUCAAUGUUUU
rnacentral:lncRNA from 1 species